CCUACGGGCGGCAGCAGUGAGGAAUAUUGGUCAAUGGACGAGAGUCUGAACCAGCCAAGUAGCGUGAAGGAUGACUGCCCUAUGGGUUGUAAACUUCUUUUAUAAAGGAAUAAAACGAGGCACGUGUGCCUUUUUGCAUGUACUUUAUGAAUAAGGAUCGGCUAACUCCGUGCCAGCAGCCGCGGUAAUACGGAGGAUCCGAGCGUUAUCCGGAUUUAUUGGGUUUAAAGGGAGCGUAGAUGGGUUGUUAAGUCAGUUGUGAAAGUUUGCGGCUCAACCGUAAAAUUGCAAUUGAUACUGGCAGUCUAGAGUACAGUUGAGGUAGGCGGAAUUCGUGGUGUAGCGGUGAAAUGCUUAGAUAUCACGAAGAACCCCGAUUGCGAAGGCAGCUUACUAAACUGUGACUGACAUUGAUGCUCGAAAGUGUGGGUAUCAAACAGGAUUAGAUACCCUAGUAGUC
rnacentral:rRNA from 1 species